UGACACUCUGGGCCCCAUUGUCACUCUGGGCCCAAGCUUCACGAUUUUGGCAAAAAAAGAGGUUUGCUGCCAGGGACCAGAGUGGGUCACCAGAGUUACUGCUAGAGCACAGGAGGAGGAAGGCAUUGAUUAUGGCCAGUGAUGGACCCUAAGAUGAAGCUAGAUCUUAAAGCUCUACAAUACGACAGCAAUUACUGGCAAUGUUGACAGAACCUUCCACACCAUCUGUUUGAAGACUUGCUUAAACUCUAUUAAACCCUUAUAUUUCAAGAGAGAUGAUCUGUGGACCAUGGGGACCUGCUGUGAAAGAUACUCUGCCAAUACAAACAAACUG